AUUGAACGCUGGCGGCAUGCUUUACACAUGCAAGUCGAACGGUAACAGGCCGCAAGGUGCUGACGAGUGGCGAACGGGUGAGUAAUGCAUCGGAACGUGCCCAGUCGUGGGGGAUAACUACUCGAAAGAGUAGCUAAUACCGCAUACGAUCUAUGGAUGAAAGCGGGGGACCGUAAGGCCUCGCGCGAUUGGAGCGGCCGAUGUCAGAUUAGGUAGUUGGUGGGGUAAAGGCUCACCAAGCCAACGAUCUGUAGCUGGUCUGAGAGGACGACCAGCCACACUGGGACUGAGACACGGUCCAGACUCCUACGGGAGGCAGCAGUGGGGAACUUUGGACAAUGGGCGCAAGCCUGAUCCAGCAAUGCCGCGUGAGGGAAGAAGGCCUUCGGGUUGUAAAAUGCUUUUGUACGGAACGAAACGGCUCUUGAUAAUCCCCGGGGCUAAUGACGGUACCGUAAGAAUAAGCACCGGCUAACUACGUG
rnacentral:rRNA from 1 species